GGGCCCGUGGCCAAGAAGGAUAAGGCGGCAAGCACGUAGCCCGCAAGCCUCCUAUCUUGGCGGGGAAAGCUGCAAAUCGCGGGUUCGAAUCCCGCCGGGCCCG
rnacentral:tRNA from 1 species